GCGUUCGGCAAAUUCACGUAGACGCACCAGAUUUAGGUUCUGGCGCCGCAAGGUGUGCGAGUUCAAGUCUCGCCUCCCGCACCA
rnacentral:tRNA from 1 species